GCAUCCGCUUCGGCGGUACGUCUACCAAAACUGGAAUGAUGCAGAGAGGAUUAGCAUGGUCCCUGUGCCAGAAUGACACACAAAGUCUUGUAAAAAAGUGGUGGAAU